rnacentral:rRNA from 1 species
UACGUAGGCAGCAAGCGUUGUUCGGAAUUACUGGGCGUAAAGAGUGUGUAGGCGGUGCUCUAAGUUCGGUGUGAAAUCUCCCGGCUUAACUGGGAGGGUGCGCCGGAAACUGGAGUGCUCGAGUGUGGGAGAGGAAAGCGGAAUUCCUGGUGUAGCGGUGAAAUGCGUAGAUAUCAGGAGGAACACCUGCGGUGUAGACGGCUUUCUGGACCAUUGCUGACGCUGAGACACGAAAGCGUGGGUAGCAAACAGG